CUCGUUCCGGCUCCGUACCUCGGCGUCCAGGGCGCUCUGCAUCGUCUCUACGGUCCUCUGCUGGAUUCGGAGGAUCUUGGCCUCUUCGUGCUCAAGGGCGGCCUUUGAAGAACAAAAACAAAACAGAAAUGGUACCAGUGAUGGGACAGAGCCUGCUACACUCUUCUCUGGGGUAUUUGUCCACGUAGUUUGCUAGGAAAAGAACCAACAUGAGGACUGUGACUCUGCAGACCCCGAGGGGGCCCUGGCUGGAGCCCUGCCGU